AGUGAACGCUGGCGGUAGGCCUAACACAUGCAAGUCGAACGGCAGCACAGGAGAGCUUGCUCUCUGGGUGGCGAGUGGCGGACGGGUGAGGAAUACAUCGGAAUCUGCCCAGUCGUGGGGGAUAACGUAGGGAAACUUACGCUAAUACCGCAUACGACCUUCGGGUGAAAGAGGGGGAUCGCAAGACCUCUCGCGAUUGGAUGAGCCGAUGUCGGAUUAGCUAGUUGGCGGGGUAAUGGCCCACCAAGGCGACGAUCCGUAGCUGGUCUGAGAGGAUGAUCAGCCACACUGGAACUGAGACACGGUCCAGACUCCUACGGGAGGCAGCAGUGGGGAAUAUUGGACAAUGGGCGCAAGCCUGAUCCAGCCAUACCGCGUGGGUGAAGAAGGCCUUCAGGUUGUAAAGCCCUUUUGUUGGGAAAGAAAUCUUUCAGGCUAAUACCCUGGGAGGAUGACGGUACCCAAAGAAUAAGCACCGGCUAACUUCGUG
rnacentral:rRNA from 1 species